ACCUAAAGAAUUUGGCGGUGUUUUAGUCUAUUUGGAGGAACUUGUCCCGUGAUCGAUAAUCCUCGUUUUAUCUUUCUUGAUUUUGCCUGUCAGUAUGUAUACCGCCGUUAUAAGUUUAUUUUUUUAGAAUUUUAAUUUACUUAAUAAAUUAUUUUUUAUUAUUUCAGGUCAAGGUGCAGCUUAUAGUUAAGUGGAGGUGAGUUACAAUAUUAUUUUAAUAUAUGGAAUUAUUUAUUUAAAAUUUAGGUGAAGGUGGAUUCAAUAGUAAUAUUAAAUAUAAAGUUAAUUUGAUUUUAGCUCUAAAAUAAGUACACAUCGCCCGUCGCU
rnacentral:rRNA from 1 species